CUGAUUAGAGGCAGCAGAGAGUCCUGAGCUCGCCUCCAUUUCCUGCCACUUCACCAGAGCCGAGACUACUCUGUGGGCUACUUGAAGUCAUGAAGACUUUUUUGGCAGGAUUGAAACAUGUUGGAAUUUUCGUGGCUCCUGCCGUGACGAAUGCCUGAAGAAUGAAAGGGUCUAUGUUUUCUGCGUGAGUGGUAAACUGUGCUGUUUGAAGCCCAAGGACCAGCCACAUUUACCACAGCAUAUAAAGAAUUAGUGCUUUAAAGUCUGAGGCCACAAAAAUGAAGAUAAACUUGCCUUAAGUCUGAUGUCAGUAGAUUCCUGGGCUUUAUUAAAACAUCUUUGGCUGACUUCUGUGUUUGUCUCUUAGUAU
rnacentral:lncRNA from 1 species